rnacentral:misc_RNA from 1 species
CCGAGUUUACAACUCCCAAACCCCUGUGAACAUACCUAUCGUUGCUUCGGCGGAUCCGCCCCGGCGCCCUCGGGCCCGGAUCAGGCGCCCGCCGGAGACCCAAAACUCUCGUAUUUCUUUAGUAUCUUCUGAGUAAACAAGCAAAUAAAUUA